GGACUGGCAGGGUUCUUCUUGUUACCUUCAGGACUGAGAAUUGUGCCCAUUGUUUCUUUGGAGGCAGCCGACCUGGCCAAAUAUCUUGAAAAGCUCUCUGUCACAGCAGCCUUCCCCAUCUCGGCCUGGGAGUUCCCCAGAGGUGGUGUGGUUUACUGAGGCAUUGAAAACUCAGCAUUUCAAAGCAGGGGCUGUCUGUGUCCUGGCUGGGAGUGGCUCAGACUUGCCCUCACGAUUUUCGGAGACCUUUAUAACAGAAGGAACCACCUUUGGUUCAACUCUUCCAUUUUUCAGAGGAGGACGCAGGGAUCCAAAGAGGUUGAGACUUUGAAGUCCCUAAGCAACCAGAUUGGGAAACUGCAACCUCGAUUUGCCCAAGGCCUCGCCGUUACCCGGUGUGGAUCAGAACUGGAACCUACGCAGUGCGACAGCGGGGUCCGCACCUUGACCUCUGUGCUCAGAAUGGCUGCCUUCCACGGAUGCUCCGGGUGUGAGGAGGACCGACUUUACUCCUAGUAAAGUGCGAGGGGCACAUCGUUGCCUGAAUGAAGCCGCUUGGACAUUGCAUCCGUUCAGACCACUCCUUGCCCCAGAUGUAGCUCUGUCAUCAGCAGCUUGGUGUCGAAUUCAAGGUGUCUUGGCACCAGGAAUAAUG